rnacentral:rRNA from 1 species
CCCUUAGAUGUUCGGGGCCGCACGCGCGCUACACUGAUGCAUUCAACGAGUCUAAUACCUGGUCUGAGAGGGCUGGGUAAUCUUUUGAAAGUGCAUCGUGAUUGGGAUAGAUGAUUGCAAUUCUUCAUCUUCAACGAGGAAUGCCUAGUAAACGCAAGUCAUCAGCUUGCAUUGAUUACGUCCCUGCCCUUUGUACACACCGCCCGUCGCUCCUACCGAUUGAACGAUCCGAUGAAAACUGUGGAUUGAGAGUCUGAGUGGGUUCGCCUACCUCAACUUUCGAGAAGCGGUUUAAAUCUUAUCGUUUAGAGGAAGGAGAAGUCGUAACA